rnacentral:lncRNA from 1 species
AGAUAAUUUGAUUAAAACUUAACUGGUAUAUCUUAUUGAUAAUUAUCUUAAGCAAAUAGAAUCUAAGCUAAAUUGCUUCUGAAAACAAGAAAUUGGUUUGACUUUGAUAAAUCUUCUUAUUGCCUCACAUGGGUAUCCUUGAACCAUCUUAUUUAAUGAAAUUAUCUCUUUAGUUCAAGUGACUUGUGCUUGCUUAUAUUUAGGCAAUCUAUUGAGUAGAGUGACUCAAAUUCAAUCAUUGUCAUAUCUUAUGUCAAGUCAUAUAGUUAUGAAAUAUGUUAUAUGAAUAUUCUUGUAUCUUGGACAACCUAAUGACUUGCCUUCAAGAAAGAAAAAGAUUCUACUAAUGAUGCAGGAUCUAUAAGCAAGAAAUGAGAGAUUUCAACUUGAAGGACACCUCCACGUAAGGUACAAUAAACAUUCAUAUGCAAACAAGAAAGAGAACUUUCUUCAGCCAAAAGUUUAUACANNNNNNNNNNNNNNNNNNNNNNNNNNNNNNNNNNNNNNNNGAAUCGGUAAUUUCAUAUAUCUCUCUUAUAAAUCAGUUGAGCAAAGUCAUAUUGUGGCAUGAUUAAAGUCCUUAAUUACUAAUUUCUUGAUAUCAUGUCUACAUAUAUUUUGACUAACUUAUGCUUUUGAAAUUUGUUUCAUGGUUUGCCUAAAUUGAAAUAUACUCUUGCGUGUAUAAUGCAUAACCAUGAAAUACACAAGUGUAUGCCUCAAAUCUCUAAUUCAGAAUAACUUGUGAUAAGCUAUGAAUUAUUGGGCAUAAUGAAAUGCUGUUUACAUGAUAUAUAUUUAUAUGCAGCAUAUUAGAUUAUUUUUUUUUUUAUCCUGCUCUUUCAUGUAAUUACUUGAAAAUAACAAAAAGAGAGAGAUAUAAAGAAAAAGAAAAUGAACAUUGUUUGGGAGAAGUAAAAGCUAAGUAAAUACUUUAAUCUUAAGAAAAAGCAGAGCAAGCAUAAUAUAUUCAGCAUAUUUGUGAGACUUGUGUGAGCAUUCUUUUGGAAGGAAUAAAAUUCGUAAUUUAUUAUAUUUAAAUAGGGAGAGUUUGGAGUGAAUAUCUUGUUGUUAAAGAAAACGGUUUAACCUUUCUAUUUUGCUCAUCAUAGGAAUGGUGCCAAUGGGGAGGCUAGUGGUAGUACCCGGCACUAUUUGACCCAACUAUUCGGUGUAGGACAGAUUAGGGACGGCACAAGAGGGAGGCUAGUGGUAGUACCUCGUGCCCCUUCCAACUCCACCGGAUAGGGAGCAAAUAGAGUAUAGAGCAUAGAAAAGUAAAACCAAAAGAAAUGAAGAUUAGAAUGUUCACUAAGUGGUUAAAGGAAGAAAUUCAAAAAUGAGGAAAUGAAUGACAAGAUAAAUGAAAGUAUAUAAAAAGCUUGUGAAAAGCCAAAUGAAGUUUCGAUCACUUGAAAACACGCCUUAAGGAUAAAAUCAGUGUAGAAUUAUAUAUAAAUAAGGAGAGUUUAUUUGAAAAGAAUUGAUUUUGACCAUUGACAUGCUUGUUAUUUCAGUUUGGUCAUUCACGUUUAUCUUUGAAAGUUAAAUAGAUGUGCAAAAA